rnacentral:rRNA from 1 species
CUUGCUCCUGGGUGACGAGCGGCGGACGGGUGAGUAAUGUCUGGGAAACUGCCUGAUGGAGGGGGAUAACUACUGGAAACGGUAGCUAAUACCGCAUAACGUCGCAAGACCAAAGAGGGGGACCUUCGGGCCUCUUGCCAUCAGAUGUGCCCAGAUGGGAUUAGCUAGUAGGUGGGGUAAUGGCUCACCUAGGCGACGAUCCCUAGCUGGUCUGAGAGGAUGACCAGCCACACUGGAACUGAGACACGGUCCAGACUCCUACGGGAGGCAGCAGUGGGGAAUAUUGCACAAUGGGCGCAAGCCUGAUGCAGCCAUGCCGCGUGUGUGAAGAAGGCCUUCGGGUUGUAAAGCACUUUCAGCGAGGAGGAAGGUGGUGAGCUUAAUACGCUCAUCAAUUGACGUUACUCGCAGAAGAAGCACCGGCUAACUCCGUGCCAGCAGCCGCGGUAAUACGGAGGGUGCAAGCGUUAAUCGGAAUUACUGGGCGUAAAGCGCACGCAGGCGGUUUGUUAAGUCAGAUGUGAAAUCCCCGGGCUCAACCUGGGAACUGCAUUUGAAACUGGCAAGCUAGAGUCUCGUAGAGGGGGGUAGAAUUCCAGG